UGUUAAAAUACUGGUUCUCGUCAGAUCUCUGGUUAAGUAAUGUCGAGCCUGAUCAGUACCUAGAUGGGUGACCACUUAAGAAUACCAGGUGAUGUAAG